AACGUAGGACGCAAGCGUUAUCCGGAGUUACUGGGCGUAAAGAGCGCGCAGGCGGUCGAUCAAGUCGAGUGUGAAAGCCCCCGGCUCAACUGGGGAGGGUCACGCGAUACUGCUCGACUUGAAGGCAGGAGAGGGAAGUGGAAUUCCCGGUGUAGUGGUGAAAUGCGUAGAUAUCGGGAGGAACACCAGUGGCGAAGGCGACUUCCUGGCCUGUUCUUGACGCUGAGGCGCGAAAGCUAGGGUAGCAAACGGG
rnacentral:rRNA from 1 species